rnacentral:tRNA from 1 species
GCCUUUGUAGGAUAAUAAGGAAAUUCAACUACCUUGUAAGUAGUUCAAUGUAGGUUCAAGUCCUACCAAAGGCU